GGUGGUUAAGAGGUUGGGUGAGAACGGGAAGCGUUUGCUUCAUUAUCAAGCAGGUAUAGCCGCAAGGCUCAAAAGCUGAGUGUGAGGAAAAAUCGUAUAAAAGGAAGGGAGAAAAGACUUCGGGAACUCAGUCGAGUGAGCACCUCCGACACGGCAACAACUGCAGCUCAAUAUUUGUCACCAACUGCCUUCAUUGUUAUACCGGUUCGCAAUCACGGUUUAGUUAACUAUGGCGCCGUGCUGCUGUUUGGUGUUGUAUGGUUAAUGGUUGGGUCGACCACGGGUGAACCGAUGUCUCCUGGACUUGGUGGAUACCAAGCAACAGCAGCGAAAGAAUAGUGCACCACGUCGCCGCCUUACUACACAACAACGUCUAGAUACGCAACAUCUACUUGCUGCGCCGAGGCUCCUAAGUACUACACCACCGAGUAUACUGUCCCAGCCUACUACACCGAAGUCCCCUAGUACUACACGACUUCGAAUGCUGCCCCAGUCUACUACACCGAGGCUCCAUCCUAAUUCAAUACCAAAGAGGUCGAGUAUUAUACUUAACCGCACAAGUACUACACUGCCAGUAACUUCACAACCACAACUGAGGCGGCCAAGUACUACAUAGCCCAGACUUACAACACAGUAGCUGUUCCUUCCUACCACAUUGAACUGUAAUACUACACCGAGGAUCCAGUCUACUACACCACAACCUAGGCUACACCCAGAUACUACGACGAAGCCCCCAACUACUACUACACCGAAAAGUUUACUUCAUUAAGUAUAACUCUGCUCCAAGCUACACCAAACUGAGGCUCCUGUUUACUACACCAAGGCCACCGAGUAUUACACUACAACCAAAUGUUAACUAUGGGGUCGUGCUGCUGUUGGCUGUUGUAUCCUUGAUGGUUAAGUCGACCACUGGUGUACCGAUGUCUCGGGGGAAUGUGGAUACCAAACCGCAACGCCGCCGUUUUAUAACACAACAGCAUACGCAACAACCCGUUACUUCACCACCAAUUCCCCGGAGUAUAAUCCACAACUGAUGAUGUCCCGAACUACUACACCGAGGCCCCAAAGUAUAACUCUGCCCCAAGCUACACCACCAAGGCACCGGAGUUACUACACCACCAAGGCACCGGAGUUACUACACCACCAAGGCACCGGAGUUACUACACCACCAAGGCACCGGAGUUACUACACCACCAAGGCACCGGAGUUACUACACCACCACGUAUGCUGCCCUAGCCUUUUACACCGAGGCCUAAGUACUACUCCGUUCCCAGCUACUUCACCGAGGCUUGAGCUUAUUACGCCACCAAAGCGGUCAAAUACUACACCGAAGCGCCCUAGGACUACUCUGCACCGAAUUACUACACAGCGGCUGCUCCCUCGUACUACGUUGGACCGAAAUACUAGACUGAGGUUCCAGUUUACUACACUACAACCCACGCUGCCUUCAGCUACCAUACCGAGGCUCCGCUCCCAUACCGAGGCUCCGCUCCCAUACCGAUGCUCCUAAGUACUACACAACUAAGGCACCCGAGUAUUGCACCACUACUUAGGCUGCUCCGACUUGCUGCAUCGAAGCUGCGAAGUAUUCCACUGCCCCGAGUUACUACACCGUUAAGACACCUGAAUGUUACAUCACAACCUUCGCUUCUCCAGUUUAUUACAGGGAGGCUCUUAAAUACUAUAGCCAAAAUUUCUGAUGUAUUUAAUUGUGUUCAAAUUUGUCGGUCACAUCUUAAUAGUUACUAAUCACUUGGAAUCGUUGAGCUUAAAUGAGAGAAUAAAUUGUUUUAUGGU